CCUACGGGAGGCAGCAGUGGGGGAUAUUGCACAAUGGGGGGAACCCUGAUGCAGCGACGCCGCGUGGGUGAAGAAGCGCCUCGGCGCGUAAAGCCCUGUCAGCAGGGAAGAAAAUGACGGUACCUGAAGAAGAAGCCCCGGCUAACUACGUGCCAGCAGCCGCGGUAAUACGUAGGGGGCAAGCGUUAUCCGGAUUAACUGGGUGUAAAGGGGGCGCAGACGGCGAUGCAAGCCAGGAGUGAAAGCCGGGGGCCCAACCCCGGGACUGCUCUUGGAACUGCGUGGCUGGAGUGCAGGAGGGGCAGGCGGAAUUCCUGGUGUAGCGGUGAAAUGCGUAGAUAUCAGGAGGAACACCGGUGGCGAAGGCGGCCUGCUGGACUGCAACUGACGUUGAGGCCCGAAAGCGUGGGGAGCAAACAGGAUUAGAUACCCUGGUAGUC
rnacentral:rRNA from 1 species